rnacentral:lncRNA from 1 species
GAAGUGACAUAGCAGGGAGACUCAUAUAUAUGCAAGGGCAAGAAGGAAGUCGUCCCCUUCUCUCUUCCUCUUGGUCUCUGCUGCAGAGUCACCAUUUGAGCCCCGGAAGACAGGACACUUCCACUGGCAUCCAGUUCAGGUCCUCUGCUACAUGUCCAGCGAGGGCAGCUUGGGCUACAACAGGGACUGUGUCAACCAACAACCACACAGCGGCAACAACAAAACGUCGUCUUGGUCUUCCUACAUCCUUCACUCCCAGAAAAAUAAAAACGGGCCCGCGUAGCGGAUCUCCGUGUGUUCCUAAGGACAUUUAUAAAACGCACAAGCAGAGGAGCCGGCUUCUUGCCUGGCUGAGUGAAGGUUUAAUUCUCCACCUUGGCACCUCGGCCCGCAGCUGUAAUGAGGGCCGUUGUGUCCAAACAGGCCCUUAAACGGGAGCCCUGCCGAGCGGGGACCCGCUUUCCCCAGGCCUGAUCAACUGUGGCAUCUUUCCUGCCAACUGACCAGGCGGAGGCAGCAGCAGGGAGGGAGGGGCCGCAGGUAGGUGGGGAGGGGAUCGUUUCGAAAGCCCCAAAUCCCUUGCAGGGAAGAGGCAGCUGCUCCGUGCUUUCCCAAACAUCUGUCCCUGGCCUUACCCUCUGGAGGCGGCUCGAGCGAGCUCAUUAGCGGGAGAGCUGAUGGGAACUCAGAACUGAAGGUGGCUCGCCCAGUGAGCGGGAAGAGCGGGAAGAGACCGAGGCGCCACCCAGAGGGUUACUGCUGCUGGAGGCCCUUGGCUAACUGUCCCUUCCCCUGAGGUCGGCCACAAAUGACAGCUUUCCAGGGGAG